CCUGCCGGAGUCCCCUCACCGAUUCACCCACACUUCUGCGCUGAAAGGCACUGGGUGGCCAAUCCACGAAGCGAGCAGCACGACCGGCCAAACUUUCCACUCUUUACAACUUUUAGCAAACACAUUAAUGUGCAUUGGUCAUACUGAGGCCAAUGGACCAAGCCCUCUCCGUUGGGAUUUCUGGAAAUAACAGAAGGAAAAGUUAGCUCUCCAUUUGCCAUCCAUUGCUCUCUGACUGCUCAUGUUCAGGGCAUUUCAGAAAACCGACAGCACCUCCUGCAAAGGGAGAGAUGAAAGGGCCACAUUAGAAAGUAAAGAAUGAGUAUCAGCUCUACCAAUUGCAGCACUUCUCCUGGUUGCCCUGAGCUGUUGGAGGUUUUUCUAGGAGAGACCUGCAGAUGAAUGAUGUAAUGAAAAGUAGCUGCUACUGAAGACAGAAGAUGUUUAUGCUCAUAAUAAUGCUUAUGACAUAUAAGGUUCUCCAGCAUCUUCUGUGCCAUUUUGUUUUCCUUGCCCUGGUGGAGCACGACAGCAAAGCACAGCAAUCAACCAUUGCAGCUGAACUGGAUUUUUCACAGCCAGAGAUAGCAGCAAUUUUCUGCAAGCAGUGAGAACAAAGAGGUUUGGACACGUUUCCUCUGUCUGGCUCUACGAGACACCGAGUCCAGCAGGAGCAGCCAAAGCUCCUGCCCAAAGGAUGCUGGAGCCUGGCUUGUCCCAGCUCCACAGGGAGGCCACUGGAAGCCCUCACAAUCCUUCACACCACGGGCUGGGCAGAAGGGGAAAACCUCUGCCUCCAAGAGUUUUUGGUACAGAAAUAUUCUAAGACAAUGCUGCUAAAUAAGGGGCUGGGCUGAGAAGGCUGGGUGACAUAAAGGAGUUAGAGAAUAAACCAUCUGCAGGGCAACAGAGAGCACAUUCUACCACUCUUGGAGAAGUCUUCUUGGCUGGAGCAAGAGCUGUCAGUAGAGAGAGCUGUCUCUUUUAUGUCCCAGCUUCCAGGUUCUGGAAACUGUUCCAUCCAGUUGAAGAGAAAAGAAAGAGGUGGAAGCCUGUAGUUCUCAAAUUAAAAAACCGGAAUAGAGUCUUGUUUAUUUACACACUACAGGCAUCAAGCAGGAGGGGAAGAGAAGAGUACUCAGAGUCUGAUACUGUUUUCACACCAAAAAGUAUAAGUCCAAUUUUUUUGAAGACACUACAUGUUACAAUAUUACUUGACAUUCAUUCUUCUCUCUUUGUGGAUAUUUGGGUGUUUGAAAGCAACACAUCAUUACAACAUGUACUAUCUGCACACAGAAAGUCUGUCUUUAAAGACUGCUUUGAUUCGCAAGAAAUGUGAAUUCACAUGAUUCAAUAUUUUAGUCUGAACAAUUUAAGAUAUUAUGUGGAAAGAGGAAUUAAAAUUACCACAAGUACUCACUUGUGCUUCCUCCUUAGGCUGGUCAGUAAACAAGGUCAUGGGUGCAGCGCCACUCUCUGAAAUGGCCUUGUGGAACAAGCCCUUGGCCAGGGGAGAUAAGACCUGUGAGAAAGCAAGGACAAGCAUGACAAGCACUGUGUUCUCCCCAGGGAUUUUGCAUUUCAGUAUCAGCAGCGGCCAUUGGGAGCAUUUUGAAAGCCCCUGUGCCAAGAGUGUCCUUGUGUAGCCUCUGACCACAGUCCAGCUGUGCAAAGUGCUUUGGCAGCGCCCUCAGGGAUGGGAGUUCAGGGCCUUCCCUCCCCCUGCACUUUGCUCCCAGUGCCUCCCAGCACCACUCUGCAGGGCAGGUACACAUGGAAUGUGCCCAAGGCAGUCUGGCUCUGCUGCAGAAGGGCAGGAAAGAGCUUUUGGCCAGAGGAAGCAGGGAUGUGUGUGCCAGGUACAAGGAAGCCUGGCUGGGCUGCGUGGGAGGGACUGGAGAAGGGGAGAGUCACAGCCAAUGUGCUCCGUGUUGGAGUAAAGAUUUUACACAAUCACAGGGUCACAAACUGCAGGGCUGCAUCAGCUACCAGAACUAUUCACCUCAAUCACUUUGCCCAAGUGGCUGUCAAAGCAAACAGGAAAUGGGCAAGAGUCUACAACUCCUCCUAAAGGACUCUGCUCAUGAGAUUAGACUUUGAGGGUUUUUUACAUUGAAAAAAACCAGAACCCAAACCAAUGAGAAUAUAAUUCAACAGCUGAGUGAUACCAUUCUGUUAAUUAACUACAACAUUUGAGUAUGAAAAUUGCACAUUUUUAUCAUUCAAAAUCUGUGCUGUGUUGCCUUGUUGUGUUAUCACAGACCCAGGUGAUGUGUCACUGUAACACCGGCCCUUUUCUCUCGCUGACUUCCCAUGCAGAUACUGAAAGUGGAUGGAGGGGUUUUUCCCCCGAGUAAUUCCAAUUCAAUAUUACUGUGAACUUACAAGAGCAGAAACACUGAUUCCUCCUGCAGAUUCUCCAAAGAUAGUGACAGAUCCUGGAUCUCCUCCAAAAUGCAUGAUAUUUUCCUGAAUCCACUGAAGAGCCGCCACUUGGUCUAAAUAUCCCCAGUUACCUCGGGCAUGCUCAUCACCAGUGCUGCAGGGAGAGAACAGAUUUGUCCAAAUGCUCAAUGCAAGCCAAGAGGCAGAGGAAAAUACAGUCUGUGGUGUGAGAAAUCAUCUGCCAUUGCCUACACAGAACUUCCCUCCACCCCUGACAAAUGGAUGGCUCAGGAAUCCCUGAGACUGGAGCAGCAGCCCCACAAGAACAGAUCUGGAAGCUGCCUUGGCACUGGAAAUUGUCCCCAGCGCUUGCAGGUGCAGUUCAGAAAGGUUUCUUUGCAAAAGCAACUCUUCUGCACUUCUCUUUACAGAGGCUUUGCACACAUCCUUUUGGACGUCACUUAGGAAAAACUGAGAUCAACCAACUUACCUAAAAUAUCCAGCAAUACCUAAUCUGUACUGAAUUGUUACAACCACCACGUUGUCAAAGGCUGCUAAUGCUGAGCCAUCGUAUGAUGAAGCUGCUCCAAAAACUAAUCCACCUCCAUGGAUCCACACUAGGACCUGGAGAAAGAAAUACAGGAUCAAUCCAGCACAGCACCUCCUGCAAAGGGAGAGAUGAAAGAGCCACAUUAGAAAGUAAAGAAUGAGUAUCAGCUCUACCAAUUGCAGCACUUCUCCUGGUUGCCCUGAGCUGUUGGAGGUUUUUCUAGGAGAGACCUGCAGAUGAAUGAUAUAAUGAAAAGUAGCUGCUACUGAAGACAGAAGAUGUUUAUGCUCAUAAUAAUGCUUAUGACAUAUAAGGUUCUCCAGCAUCUUCUGUGCCAUUUUGUUUUCCUUGCCCUGGUGGAGCAUGACAGCAAAGCACAGAUACCGAAAGUGGAUGGAGGGGUUUUUCCCCCGAGUAAUUCCAAUUCAAUAUUACUGUGAACUUACAAGAGCAGAAACACUGAUUCCUCCUGCAGAUUCUCCAAAGAUAGUGACAGACCCUGGAUCUCCUCCAAAAUGCAUGAUAUUUUCCUGAAUCCACUGAAGAGCCGCCACUUGGUCUAAAUAUCCCCAGUUACCUCGGGCAUGCUCAUCACCAGUGCUGCAGAGAGAGAACAGAUUUGUCCAAAUGCUCAAUGCAAGCCAAGAGGCAGAGGAAAAUACAGUCUGUGGUGUGAGAAAUCAUCUGCCAUUGCCUACACAGAACUUCCCUCCACCCCUGACAAAUGGAUGGCUCAGGAAUCCCUGAGACUGGAGCAGCAGCCCCACAAGAACAGAUCUGGAAGCUGCCUUGGCACUGGAAAUUGUCCCCAGUGCUUGCAGGUGCAGUUCAGAAAGGUUUCUUUGCAAAAGCAACUCUUCUGCACUUCUCUUUACAGAGGCUUUGCACACAUUCUUUUGGACGUCACUUAGGAAAAACUGAGAUCAACCAACUUACCUAAAAUAUCCAGCAAUACCUAAUCUGUACUGAAUUGUUACAACCACCACGUUGUCAAAGGCUGCUAAUGCUGAGCCAUCGAAUGAUGAAGCUGCUCCAAGAACUAAUCCACCUCCAUGGAUCCACACUAUGACCUGGAGAAAGAAAUACAGGAUCAAUCCAGCACAGCACCUCCUGCAAAGGGAGAGAUGAAAGAGCCACAUUAGAAAGUAAAGAAUGAGUAUCAGCUCUACCAAUUGCAGCACUUCUCCUGGUUGCCCUGAGCUGUUGGAGGUUUUUCUAGGAGAGACCUGCAGAUGAAUGAUGUAAUGAAAAGUAGCUGCUACUGAAGACAGAAGAUGUUUAUGCUCAUAAUAAUGCUUAUGACAUAUAAGGUUCUCCAGCAUCUUCUGUGCCAUUUUGUUUUCCUUGCCCUGGUGGAGCAUGACAGCAAAGCACAGAUACCGAAAGUGGAUGGAGGGGUUUUUCCCCCGAGUAAUUCCAAUUCAAUAUUACUGUGAACUUACAAGAGCAGAAACACUGAUUCCUCCUGCAGAUUCUCCAAAGAUAGUGACAGAUCCUGGAUCUCCUCCAAAAUGCAUGAUAUUUUCCUGAAUCCACUGAAGAGCCGCCACUUGGUCUAAAUAUCCCCAGUUACCUCGGGCAUGCUCAUCACCAGUGCUGCAGGGAGAGAACAGAUUUGUCCAAAUGCUCAAUGCAAGCCAAGAGGCAGAGGAAAAUACAGUCUGUGGUGUGAGAAAUCAUCUGCCAUUGCCUACACAGAACUUCCCUGCACCCCUGACAAAUGGAUGGCUCAGGAAUCCCUGAGACUGGAGCAGCAGCCCCACAAGAACAGAUCUGGAAGCUGCCUUGGCACUGGAAAUUGUCCCCAGCGCUUGCAGGUGCAGUUCAGAAAGGUUUCUUUGCAAAAGCAACUCUUCUGCACUUCUCUUUACAGAGGCUUUGCACACAUCCUUUUGGACGUCACUUAGGAAAAACUGAGAUCAACCAACUUACCUAAAAUAUCCAGCAAUACCUAAUCUGUACUGAAUUGUUACAACCACCACGUUGUCAAAGGCUGCUAAUGCUGAGCCAUCGAAUGAUGAAGCUGCUCCAAGAACUAAUCCACCUCCAUGGAUCCACACUAUGACCUGGAGAAAGAAAUACAGGAUCAAUCCAGCACAGCACCUCCUGCAAAGGGAGAGAUGAAAGAGCCACGUUAGAAAGUAAAGAAUGAGUAUCAGCUCUACCAAUUGCAGCACUUCUCCUGGUUGCCCUGAGCUGUUGGAGGUUUUUCUAGGAGAGACCUGCAGAUGAAUGAUGUAAUGAAAAGUAGCUGCUACUGAAGACAGAAGAUGUUUAUGCUCAUAAUAAUGCUUAUGACAUAUAAGGUUCUCCAGCAUCUUCUGUGCCAUUUUGUUUUCCUUGCCCUGGUGGAGCAUGACAGCAAAGCACAGCAUUCAACCAUUGCAGCUGAACUGGAUUUUUCACAGCCAGAGACAGCAGCAAUUUUCUGCAAGCAGUGAGAACAAACAGGUUUGGACACGUUUCCUCUGUCUGGCUCUACGAGACACCGAGUCCAGCAGGAGCAGCCAAAGCUCCUGCCCAAAGGAUGCUGGAGCCUGGCUUGUCCCAGCUCCACAGGGAGGCCACUGGAAGCCCUCACAAUCCCUCACACCACGGGCUGGGCAGAAGGGGAAAACCUCUGCCUCCAAGAGUUUUUGGUACAGAAAUAUUCUAAGACAAUGCUGCUAAAUAAGGGGCUGGGCUGAGAAGGCUGGGUGACAUAAAGGAGUUAGAGAAUAAACCAUCUGCAGGGCAACAGAGAGCACAUUCUACCACUCUUGGAGAAGUCUUCUUGGCUGGAGCAAGAGCUGUCAGUAGAGAGAGCUGUCUCUUUUAUGUCCCAGCUUCCAGGUUCUGGAAACUGUUCCAUCCAGUUGAAGAGAAAAGAAAGAGGUGGAAGCCUGUAGUUCUCAAAUUAAAAAACCGGAAUAGAGUCUUGUUUAUUUACACACUACAGGCAUCAAGCAGGAGGGGAAGAGAAGAGUACUCAGAGUCUGAUACUGUUUUCACACCAAAAAGUAUAAGUUCAAUUUUUUUGAAGACACUACAUGUUACAAUACUACUUGACAUUCAUUCUUCUCUCUUUGUGGAUAUUUGGGUGUUUGAAAGCAACACAUCAUUACAACAUGUACUAUCUGCACACAGAAAUUCUGUCUUUAAAGACUGCUUUGAUUCGCAAGAAAUGUGAAUUCAUAUGAUUCAAUAUUUUGGACUGAACAGUUUAAGAUAUGCAGAACUAUGUGGAAAAGGGAAUUAAAAUUACCACAAGUACUCACUUGUGCAUCCUCCUUAGGCUGCUCAGUGAAGAAGCCCAUGGCUACAUUGCCACUCUCUGAAAUGGCCUUGUGGAACAAGCCCUUGGCCAGGGGAGAUAAGACCUGUGAGAAAGCAAGGACAAGCAUGACAAGCACUGUGUUCUCCCCAGGGAUUUUGCAUUUCAGUAUCAGCAGCGGCCAUUGGGAGCAUUUUGAAAGCCCCUGUGCCAAGAGUGUCCUUGUGUAGCCUCUGACCACAGUCCAGCUGUGCAAAGUGCUUUGGCAGCGCCCUCAGGGAUGGGAGUUCAGGGCCUUCCCUCCCCCUGCACUUUGCUCCCAGUGCCUCCCAGCACCACUCUGCAGGGCAGGUACACAUGGAAUGUGCCCAAGGCAGUCUGGCUCUGCUGCAGAAGGGCAGGAAAGAGCUUUUGGCCAGAGGAAGCAGGGAUGUGUGUGCCAGGUACAAGGAAGCCUGGCUGGGCUGCAUGGGAGGGACUGGAGAAGGGGAGAGUCACAGCCAAUGUGCUCCGUGUUGGAGUAAAGAUUUUACACAAUCACAGGGUCACAAACUGCAGGGCUGCAUCAGCUACCAGAACUAUUCACCUCAAUCACUUUGCACAAGUGGCUGUCAAAGCAAACAGGAAAUGGGCAAGAGUCUACAACUCCUCCUAAAGGACUCUGCUCAUGAGAUUAGACUUUGAGGGUUUUUUACAUUGAAAAAAACCAGAACCCAAACCAAUGAGAAUAUAAUUCAACAGCUGAGUGAUACCAUUCUGUUAAUUAACUACAACAUUUGAGUAUGAAAAUUGCACAUUUUUAUCAUUCAAAAUCUGUGCUGUGUUGCCUUGUUGUGUUAUCACAGACCCAGGUGACGUGUCACUGUAACACCGGCCCUUUUCUCUCGCUGACUUCCCAUGCAGAUACUGAAAGUGGAUGGAGGGGUUUUUCCCCCGAGUAAUUCCAAUUCAAUAUUACUGUGAACUUACAAGAGCAGAAACACUGAUUCCUCCUGCAGAUUCUCCAAAGAUAGUGACAGAUCCUGGAUCUCCUCCAAAAUGCAUGAUAUUUUCCUGAAUCCACUGAAGAGCCGCCACUUGGUCUAAAUAUCCCCAGUUACCUCGGGCAUGCUCAUCACCAGUGCUGCAGGGAGAGAACAGAUUUGUCCAAACGCUCAAUGCAAGCCAAGAGGCAGAGGAAAAUACAGUCUGUGGUGUGAGAAAUCAUCUGCCAUUGCCUACACAGAACUUCCCUCCACCCCUGACAAAUGGAUGGCUCAGGAAUCCCUGAGACUGGAGCAGCAGCCCCACAAGAACACAUCUGGAAGCUGCCUUGGCACUGGAAAUUGUCCCCAGCGCUUGCAGGUGCAGUUCAGAAAGGUUUCUUUGCAUAAGCAACUCUUCUGCACUUCUCUUUACAGAGGCUUUGCACACAUUCUUUUGGACGUCACUUAGGAAAAACUGAGAUCAACCAACUUACCUAAAAUAUCCAGCAAUACCUAAUCUGUACUGAAUUGUUACAACCACCACGUUGUCAAAGGCUGCUAAUGCUGAGCCAUCGUAUGAUGAAGCGUCUCCAAGAACUAAUCCACCUCCAUGGAUCCACACUAGGACCUGGAGAAAGAAAUACAGGAUCAAUCCAGCACAGCACCUCCUGCAAAGGGAGAGAUGAAAGAGCCACAUUAGAAAGUAAAGAAUGAGUAUCAGCUCUACCAAUUGCAGCACUUCUCCUGGUUGCCCUGAGCUGUUGGAGGUUUUUCUAGGAGAGACCUGCAGAUGAAUGAUGUAAUGAAAAGUAGCUGCUACUGAAGACAGAAGAUGUUUAUGCUCAUAAUAAUGCUUAUGACAUAUAAGGUUCUCCAGCAUCUUCUGUGCCAUUUUGUUUUCCUUGCCCUGGUGGAGCAUGACAGCAAAGCACAGACCCAGGUGACGUGUCACUGUAACACCGGCCCUUUUCUCUCGCUGACUUCCCAUGCAGAUACUGAAAGUGGAUGGAGGGGUUUUUCCCCCGAGUAAUUCCAAUUCAAUAUUACUGUGAACUUACAAGAGCAGAAACACUGAUUCCUCCUGCAGAUUCUCCAAAGAUAGUGACAGAUCCUGGAUCUCCUCCAAAAUGCAUGAUAUUUUCCUGAAUCCACUGAAGAGCCGCCACUUGGUCUAAAUAUCCCCAGUUACCUCGGGCAUGCUCAUCACCAGUGCUGCAGAGAGAGAACAGAUUUGUCCAAACGCUCAAUGCAAGCCAAGAGGCAGAGGAAAAUACAGUCUGUGGUGUGAGAAAUCAUCUGCCAUUGCCUACACAGAACUUCCCUCCACCCCUGACAAAUGGAUGGCUCAGGAAUCCCUGAGACUGGAGCAGCAGCCCCACAAGAACAGAUCUGGAAGCUGCCUUGGCACUGGAAAUUGUCCCCAGCGCUUGCAGGUGCAGUUCAGAAAGGUUUCUUUGCAAAAGCAACUCUUCUGCACUUCUCUUUACAGAGGCUUUGCGCACAUUCUUUUGGACGUCACUUAGGAAAAACUGAGAUCAACCAACUUACCUAAAAUAUCCAGCAAUACCUAAUCUGUACUGAAUUGUUACAACCACCACGUUGUCAAAGGCUGCUAAUGCUGAGCCAUCGAAUGAUGAAGCUGCUCCAAGAACUAAUCCACCUCCAUGGAUCCACACUAUGACCUGGAGAAAGAAAUACAGGAUCAAUCCAGCACAGCACCUCCUGCAAAGGGAGAGAUGAAAGGGCCACGUUAGAAAGUAAAGAAUGAGUAUCAGCUCUACCAAUUGCAGCACUUCUCCUGGUUGCCCUGAGCUGUUGGAGGUUUUUCUAGGAGAGACCUGCAGAUGAAUGAUGUAAUGAAAAGUAGCUGCUACUGAAGACAGAAGAUGUUUAUGCUCAUAAUAAUGCUUAUGACAUAUAAGGUUCUCCAGAAUCAUUUGUGCCAUUUUGUUUUCCUUGCCCUGGUGGAGCACGACAGCAAAGCACAGCAUUCAACCAUUGCAGCGGAACUGGAUUUUUCACAGCCAGAGACAGCAGCAAUUUUCUGCAAGCAGUGAGAACAAAGAGGUUUGGACACGUUUCCUCUGUCUGGCUCUACGAGACACCGAGUCCAGCAGGAGCAGCCAAAGCUCCUGCCCAAAGGAUGCUGGAGCCUGGCUUGUCCCAGCUCCACAGGGAGGCCACUGGAAGCCCUCACAAUCCUUCACACCACGGGCUGGGCAGAAGGGGAAAACCUCUGCCUCCAAGAGUUUUUGGUACAGAAAUAUUCUAAGACAAUGCUGCUAAAUAACGGGCUGGGCUGAGAAGGCUGGGUGACAUAAAGGAGUUAGAGAAUAAACCAUCUGCAGGGCAACAGAGAGCACAUUCUACCACUCUUGGAGAAGUCUUCUUGGCUGGAGCAAGAGCUGUCAGUAGAGAGAGCUGUCUCUUUUAUGUCCCAGCUUCCAGGUUCUGGAAACUGUUCCAUCCAGUUGAAGAGAAAAGAAAGAGGUGGAAGCCUGUAGUUCUCAAAUUAAAAAACCGGAAUAGAGUCUUGUUUAUUUACACACUACAGGCAUCAAGCAGGAGGGGAAGAGAAGAGUACUCAGAGUCUGAUACUGUUUUCACACCAAAAAGUAUAAGUUCAAAUUUUUGAAGACACUACAUGUUACAAUACUACUUGACAUUCAUUCUUCUCUCUUUGUGGAUAUUUGGUGUUUGAAAGCAACACAUCAUUACAACAUGUACUAUCUGCACACAGAAAUUCUGUCUUUAAAGACUGCUUUGAUUCACGAGAAAUGUGAAUUCACAUGAUUCAAUAUUUUAGUCUGAACAAUUUAAGAUAUGCAGAACUAUGUGGAACAGGGAAUUAAAAUUACCACAAGUACUCACUUGUGCAUCCUCCUUAGGCUGCUCAGUGAAGAAGCCCAUGGCUACAUUGCCACUCUCUGAAAUGGCCUUGUGGAACAAGCCCUUGGCCAGGGGAGAUAAGACCUGUGAGAAAGCAAGGACAAGCAUGACAAGCACUGUGUUCUCCCCAGGGAUUUUGCAUUUCAGUAUCAGUAGCGGCCAUUGGGAGCAUUUUGAAAGCCCCUGUGCCAAGAGUGUCCUUGUGUAGCCUCUGACCACAGUCCAGCUGUGCAAAGUGCUUUGGCAGCGCCCUCAGGGAUGGGAGUUCAGGGCCUUCCCUCCCCCUGCACUUUGCUCCCAGUGCCUCCCAGCACCACUCUGCAGGGCAGGUACACAUGGAAUGUGCCCAAGGCAGUCUGGCUCUGCUGCAGAAGGGCAGGAAAGAGCUUCUGGCCAGAGGAAGCAGGGAUGUGUGUGCCAGGUACAAGGAAGCCUGGCUGGGCUGCGGGGGAGGGACUGGAGAAGGGGAGAGUCACAGCCAAUGUGCUCCGUGUUGGAGUAAAGAUUUUACACAAUCACAGGGUCACAAACUGCAGGGCUGCAUCAGCUACCAGAACUAUUCACCUCAAUCACUUUGCCCAAGUGGCUGUCAAAGCAAACAGGAAAUGGGCAAGAGUCUACAACUCCUCCUAAAGGACUCUGCUCAUGAGAUUAGACUUUGAGGGUUUUUUACAUUGAAAAAAACCAGAACCCAAACCAAUGAGAAUAUAAUUCAACAGCUGAGUGAUACCAUUCUGUUAAUUAACUACAACAUUUGAGUAUGAAAAUUGCACAUUUUUAUCAUUCAAAAUCUGUGCUGUGUUGCCUUGUUGUGUUAUCACAGACCCAGGUGAUGUGUCACUGUAACACCGGCCCUUUUCUCUCGCUGACUUCCCAUGCAGAUACCGAAAGUGGAUGGAGGGGUUUUUCCCCCGAGUAAUUCCAAUUCAAUAUUACUGUGAACUUACAAGAGCAGAAACACUGAUUCCUCCUGCAGAUUCUCCAAAGAUAGUGACAGAUCCUGGAUCUCCUCCAAAAUGCAUGAUAUUUUCCUGAAUCCACUGAAGAGCCGCCACUUGGUCUAAAUAUCCCCAGUUACCUCGGGCAUGCUCAUCACCAGUGCUGCAGGGAGAGAACAGAUUUGUCCAAAUGCUCAAUGCAAGCCAAGAGGCAGAGGAAAAUACAGUCUGUGGUGUGAGAAAUCAUCUGCCAUUGCCUACACAGAACUUCCCUCCACCCCUGACAAAUGGAUGGCUCAGGAAUCCCUGAGACUGGAGCAGCAGCCCCACAAGAACAGAUCUGGAAGCUGCCUUGGCACUGGAAAUUGUCCCCAGCGCUUGCAGGUGCAGUUCAGAAAGGUUUCUUUGCAAAAGCAAGUCUUCUGCACUUCUCUUUACAGAGGCUUUGCACACAUCCUUUUGGACGUCACUUAGGAAAAACUGAGAUCAACCAACUUACCUAAAAUAUCCAGCAAUACCUAAUCUGUACUGAAUUGUUACAACCACCACGUUGUCAAAGGCUGCUAAUGCUGAGCCAUCGUAUGAUGAAGCGUCUCCAAGAACUAAUCCACCUCCAUGGAUCCACACUAGGACCUGGAGAAAGAAAUACAGGAUCAAUCCAGCACAGCUGAAAAAAAAAAGACAAAUAUCGUGGGUGCAGCCUGGGCUGGAGAACCAGGGCCCUGAUGGAUCCGGCCGAGUUCACAGCUGAGGCUGAACACGGGGGGUUCUACUGAACCCCCAUGGAAAUUGUGUCCUUUGUGGAGUUGUGGGAUGUGAGACACUGCUGGGACCCCAUUGGACCCGCCAGGACUCUGCUGGGAUUCCUUUGGGAUUUCUCCAGGAUUUCUCCAGGACACUAUCAGACCCUUGCUGGGACCCACGGAGCCCCAUGCAGCCUGCUCAUAACCAGGCACCCUCGGCUUCCCUGGGAAGCAGUUCUCUGUUUCAGGAUUCAGCAGUUCUCUGUUUCAGGACCAAGAAGUACAUUCAGGGAUGUCAAAGAUUAACAUCUCCAGUCAAUGGACCUUCUUCUGAAACUCAGCUGUUUGGACUUAUAAACAAUGAUCAUUCUUUGCAUUGUUGCUUGGUUUCUAAUAUUCUAAACCUUGUUUUAGUGAUAUGAUAGAAGUAGAUAUUCUACAGGUAAAGAAUCUCUCUGACCAUUCUAAAUCAGCUUCUAAAUGAGGUUUUGAUUGGCAGGAGAUAAACCUCUUGAGAUGUGUUUGUUCUCUCCUCUGCAAAGGGCCCAGCCGAAGAAUUGCAAACGCAGCUCCUCCUCCUCUUCUUCUUCUUUUAUUUUACAGUAAACAGGGCGAGAUGUGGUAAUCACAUAUCCUCUGAACAGAGAGAGACAUAAUUCUCUCCCAGGAUUUUCCUGAGAAGCUGUGAGAAAGCUCAGAGAAAACAAUUCCUAUCUCCAUGUGCUGCACCUGUUGUUGUGCACAUGCGGAACCUGUUAUGGAGUGUAAAAUAAUGAAGGCACAGGGGCUAGCUCCUUAGCCGGACAGCAGGUUCCCCGUAGGGUUAAAGCACCCCAGCUAGCAGUCUCAAGGCCGGGUACCUCAGCCCUUUGGGGGCUGAGUGCCCUAGCCCAGACUGCGGCACAGCCGUGGCCCCUAGCAAGCUCAGUGAUUGUCAGCUCUCAGUGAUAUCAGCUCUUUUAUGGUUUCAGCUCUUUAGCUUGCUCGAGGCUUUGGCUGGCCGUGGCUUCUAGGAAAGCAGACGAGAGAGAAGAGAAGGUUGGCUUCAGAGUGUUCCACGAUGGUUUAUUCUGAGGGUUUCGCGAAGGGUCCAAAUGCAGCUCUUCUAACAAAAUGGGCCAAGACAGCCCCUUUUAUAGGGUUAGGGGGGAUUGGAAACUGACCAAUUGUAAGGGUUAGGGAAACUAGCCUAUGGGGUCACAGAGAGAUAAGCAGGCCUGGAGGACCAGAGUGAGGACUCCUGGUUCAAUUCCUAUGACUCAGCAAAUACCUAUCUCUAAACAUUCCUCCAUGGAGCCGUAGCUGGCCCUGUGCCUGCUACAAUGGAGAUUGUUUACCAAAGCGUGGUUUCUUCACUGGACACUGGUGGUGGUGUUUGGAUUCACUGACCAACUGGAUCCACGUGUGUGUGGGACUGUCUGGCAAGGGUAAUGGGUUUUGAUAUAGUGUAGCAUAAUAUAGUGUAGUAUGGUAUGGUAUAGAAUGGUAUGGUAUAGUGCAAUAAAGUGAUGGAUCAGCCUCCUGCAAUCACCAACUCAAUGCUCGUUAUUCCCUGCUCAGGGGCUCGCUGCUACAAUAAAAUAUCACAGCCCCUGCUGAGGAUCCAGUGAAACUACAGAAUGUAAAACUUGGAGCUAGACCCUCUGAAGCUUGGACAGGUUUACCAUAUGCUAAAGAAACAGUGUGAAUCUCACCUCAGGAGACAAGGGCAUCACAGUGCUUAUCUCUACAUAGAAAUGAGUAAGAUCUUCUGACAUUUUCCAGUGUAAUUUACUUUUAGUGCUGGCCUGUGCUAGGAAGUCAAUUCAACUGCACAUCUGUGCAUACACAAGAUGAGCAUGUAUUCUGUGCACACCCAUACAGCACUGCCUGUUUAUCUCCUUUUAAAGGAAGCGGCACAGCACUUCAAAGGUUUGUACAAUGAAGAUUUAGCACGACUGUUUUGAAAUUAUAUUCCCCUCACACAAUAAAGGAGGUAAAACAAAGAAGUGAGGACAGGUGCUUAGGAGGAAGUUUUGCUUACCAAAACUGCAGUGGUAAAACAGUCUCACCCUGCUCCUGAGCUCUGCCUGGCAACAGAACUUGGGCAAGACAAUGUAGAAAAUCCCACCCUACUUCUUCCAGUAAAGUAAUUUGGAAAGAAGGGAUGGGUAGCUAGUUGUAGGACAUUAUUAGCCAUGAAUAAUUAAGAAUUCUUCCAGAGAUACAGAGGGGAGCUGAAGGGAGGGGGAACUGAUGUUCAUUGCCCUGUAGGAUGUGUGGAGCUGAAUCACUGCUGUGAGGCACCAGUGUGACCAGGAAUGUGGCUGGGAUUGUGGUAAUCACAUAACCUCUGAACAGAGACACUGCUCUCCCAGGAUUUUCCUGGGAAGAUGUGAGAAAGCUCAGAGAAAAAAUUAAAACAAUUAUUAUCUCAAUCUGCACCUGACAAGCAAUCUCUGUUUGUCAAAGAUGUUUAUAAGGAGUUGUCACUUCUUGACCAAUAGGUGAGAGAAGAUUCCUAAAGGCCAAUCAGGUCACAGGUCCACAAUUGUAGAUUUCUAAUAAUAAAGUGCUUUUCAUGCCUUCUGAUGAUGGAGUCUCUGUAUCACCUUUGUCUGUCCCCAGUAACCCUUUGGUGAUAUGGGAUAGCUGAAGCAGCCUAGGAGCCAGGUACAGCAAAGACAUGGCAGAGAAGUGAUUGAAAACUCUGCCAUGAAGUGUGCAAGCCUUGUUCUUGGCAGCACUCUGGAGUGGCCCUGGGACAGACCCAGUGCUGGCAAUGAGGCUGUGAGCCACUGCAAACAGGGACAGUGGCACAGGGGACAGCCUGGAGCACAGAGAGAAGCACUGGGGAAAUGACAGAAAUCUUAAUCCUUGUAGGGGAGCUGCAACUAAAUGUAAAAGCUGAGAAUUGUGGAUACUGGAGAAUUUUUCUCCCUUUUCUGACAUUUGGGAGAAGUCUUAAUUCUAGCACUACUGUUACAGGUUAAGUACCACAGCAGUCAGAACUGUCCUGUCUCAGUUGUAAAACCAAGUGACACAGCAGAACAUUCUGUAGUUUCCUCUUCUUUCCACAGAGGACAUUACUCUAUCUACAUCAGACCACAGCUUCUGUGCCACCAAUAAAUUUGGCAUCAAGAGAGUCUCACUCACAAACUAGGUCUUCAUUGAUUUCCCUUUAUUAAAAGAAUGGUGCUGCUACAUUCUGUCUUCAGUCGUGGGCAGUGACAGAAAAACGUGAGCAUUGGGGAAAUUUGGUAGCUGUAUUUGACAAGUGAGGAUCAACUGGAAUUAUUACAGUGAAUAACUGCAGGUAUGACAACUGCGAAGAAAAGGUGAGGGAAAUGCAAUUUUAUCCUCAAAUAUACUUCAAUUAAUUUUUUUAAUAUCCUAAUAGUUUACAGGUUAUGUGCAUGUUUAGACUGUAAAUUAUAACUCUAAUUUAAACUUGUUAUUUUGCGUGCUUUUGCUAUUUGUCUUUUCAAGGAUCACUUUUUUCCAGAAUGCUACCUUCUUUUCUUUCAACUUUCUGCCUUUCUUUUGCUGUAGAUUUAUCUGCAAGUAUUCUUCAUUUAGGUUGUAAGACGGCCAUUCAACCAGACCCUCUCCAUUAGGAUUUCUGUGAGCAAGAGGAAAGAAGAGUGAGUGCCCUUUUCAGUCACAGGGGAAUUCAAUCCCACGAGUUCAGACUGAAUCAAUAAACCAGCCAAUUCCCCAUGGAGUCAGUGCAAAGCAGCAAUAUCUGUCACAAACUUCAUGAUUCUUACCCAUUUCGAGCAAAGUUAGCCCAGUACUUCAUUAGAGUUCUGCUGAGGUUCUUCUCUUCCUCUGUAACUUCACCUGAAAGACAGAAUAGCUCCUGUGUGUGGCAGAAAUCAGGACAUUGCUGCUACAGCAGCAGCAUUUCCCUCUGUGAAUGAGCUGGCAACUGGCAAUGUGGCAAUUGCAACACCACUGGCCAACAUCACUACUACAGCAAGGGUCAGGGGAUUUCAGCACUCCAGAUGAAUUACUUCAGCAUCAUUACCCUACUGCAGAAAUCAGGGAAUUUGGGAACAAGAAAAUAAGGUGAUGUGUCUGCAACUUUCCAGGAAAUCAGAGCAGAACCAAAAAACCCCCAUGUGUCCUGCAUCCCAGUACAACUCCAGGAAUGGGCCACAUGGCUCAUUUUUUUUUUCUGGGUCCCAUUCUAGUUUUGUGGGACUGGAACUCUCCCUAUUAUUCAGAGCAUGACAAGGCAAAGAUUUCUUCAUUCUCACACAAGAUGGUGCCACCCCAUUUCUCAGCCAAUACUUUAAGAGUAUUUCUUUAAAUAUAGUUAUGCAUAACAUAAGCUCACUGUACCACUAGGUGAGAAUCACUUCAGUUCCUGUGUGCUUUUAAUUAUAAAUGCAUCUCAAUACACUAAGAAAAAUGUUUGGUAUCUUAAAGCCCUUGAUAAAUUCAGGCAAAGAGGAAAAGAGCUGUUCAGUGUUUCCUAGUGCCACAGAAAUGUAAGUAAAAAACCAAAAAAAAAAAAUUAAAGGAAAAAAAAUUAAAGGAAAAAUUAAAGGGCUCUGGUAACAAAGGGCUUUACAACAUAGCUGGAUUGCUCCAAAGUUCAAUGAAGUAAAAGGAAAUACUUUCACUUAUGUAGGCUUUGAGCAGACUAUGAACUACUGUGCAAAUCACAAAAAUAAAGGCAGAAAAAAAAUAGUGAAUUCACUUAAAAUAAGCAGAAUUUUUGUGUCUCUGUCAAAAUAAGAACUGUUCUUAAUCUGUUCCACAGGAAAGAAAAUACUUCAUGCUGAGUAUUACUGUCUUAGGCAUAUGUAAUUAAAGGAUAUUGCUGGAUUAAUAAUGUUCCUUAGGAAGUGGCAUCAUCUUUCUUAACAGUUCAGUGACUGGCAGAUUCAUUGGGAAUAUAACAAUGUGGGAUUCUCACAGAGGAACUUCCAGAAUCCCAUGGAAAUUUGGGGAGCACACCCUUAAUCCUCCCUCAGUGGACUGUUCCAUUUGAAUAAAUGCUCAAGUAUGAACUGAAUUGUGAGGCAAAACAGAGCUAACCACUGGAUCUUCACACAGAAAAUGAAACACUGGAAUUCCAAGCCUUGCUCUGAACAUGGCUGGAAUCACUUCCUGCAAAAGAAACCAAGUCCCCCAUUCUCUGGAGCCUGACAGCCCAUGGGAUUUCCUGAAAGGAGGAGACACUGGCCUAAACUCCUCAGGAAAAGAAGAGAUCCUGGAUUUCCUGCUUCCCAAGCACUCUGCAAGUUUAAUUGACCUUUCCUUCAAUUUCAUUAACAACCAAAGCCAUUUGGCAAAUUCAUGCACAGUGCUGGGAUAAUGAGAGUGAAUUUUCUAGCAAAUAUCCUAUUUACUCAAUUGCUGACAAGAUGUGGAACUGGCUUCAGACCAAGCAAACUGUAAAGGAGAGAAGAUGGAGAAGAUGGUUAAAUGCAUAAUAUCAAUUCUGCCAGGAGGAAGGGUUAUGGCUUGGUCUCAUUGCCAAUAUAUGCACCUUAAUCUGAUGCAAAGUAAUAGAACACUGAACAGAAAAAUGCCAGGGCCACAGGACUCAUUCAGGAGUGAAUGGUGUCUGUUCCUUACUGCGGAGCUGGAUGUCCCCAGCCAGAAAUGGCCCCCCAAAGACAAAGCCAACUUCAUCCCCGUGGUCAGCCUUCACAUAGCCAGGUUUGCUGUCCCGGUAUGCACUGGCCCUGUGCUGGAACUCAAAGAAGUAGGUAGGAGCUCCAGACUCUGCAAGACAGAACAUGCAGGGAAUUACAGAAGAGAUACAUAAACUUCAGGUGUCAUCAGCUGUUUAAAAUACUCCUUUAAAAAGAGCUUUAUACUGGGCACAUUUCUAGUGUAAUUGUUACGUUCAAAUAUGUACUUUUACUUUUAAUGGAAAAUUAACAGCUCAGCUUACACAAAAAAAAAAAAAAAAAAAAAAAAGGAAGAUCCACCCUAAGAUAAUGUCUAGAAAACAAAAUAUCAAAUUAUUUCCACUUUUGAGUAUCUUGGCAUAGCUUGUGUACACCUACACACCAGAAAAUUUACAGAACACAGAGCUGCUGACUUCCCAAGCAGCCGUGGGCCAAAGGACAAAGGUGGCUUUGAAAUGUUUUAAUUUUUAAGCCUGUAUACUUCAGUUAGCAAAUAUUUACCUGUGUUAUCAUGCUCUGCUCUCAAUAUAUUGUGAUUAUGAGCACACUUGCACAGAGAUAAGGGACUGUACACAACCCUGCAGACCUGUAUCCUUGUUCCCAGUGGGAAUCUCAGGAAGGGCUGCCUACAUAUGACAAGAUUUGUGUCUGCAUCAUUUGAUCCAGCCUGCAGUAGGGGGUUUGAGUGUCCCACUGCUGUUGGUCAGCUUACCCCUGUGAUAAUUCAGUGCUUUAAUGGCUGGCAUGACAAUUCCCAUGUCCCCCAGAAGGUCCAGAAAUCCAUCCCGUAGCUCUGCAGGGUCCUCUGUGUCUCCCAGAUAUUCAUCUAAGAUCAUGGGCAGAAAAUCUGAGGGUACAUCCUAAGAGACAAGAAACAAACAGACAAACAAUCACUGUCUGAAUUGGCAGCAAAAUUUGCCAUAUUUUAAGCUUCAGAGAUUCUGCAAAGGCACAAAUGUCCAGGACAGGACCCAUGUUGAUGGGAAACAAAACCUAUUCAUGCUUUUUGUGGGCAAAAAAAUACCAAACAAACCAACCACCUCAGGUCAAAUUUUCACCAGAUUUAUAUGGGUUAAAACUCUACAGGAAUAGGUGUAGAUCCAGCAAUUCUUCCUAACAAUAUCUUCAGCUUCUGUUUUCAUCAGGAGAAGAGAGAUGGGAAUCACAGAAGUAAAAGUAUUUACAAACAUAAAUUCUCAGUCCUUGAAAGAUUUAUGGACCAUUAGACAAGAGGACAAGGCCAAUGGGAUCUCCAAACAGUGUAAAUUUUCAGGGUUAGAAUUUGCUGCUUGAAAGAUGCACUUCAAAACUAAGAGUGCAAAGUAACUACUUUAAAAGCUACAUUUAAUGUAAACAUAAUGAAAAAUACACCUUGAAACUCCCUAAGCAUGGGAUUAGCCAUGAGAUAACUUAACCUUAGGGAAGCUACUACAGUAAUCCCACAAAUAUGUAAGAUAAAAGUAUUGUUUGAGGUCUAGAUUGAAAAAGGCAUUUUCCCAAAUCCCAGGCCUGGCUCAAUCCUAUUUCUGUGGAACUCCAUACACUCUGGUCCUGUCAACUUUGCUGGGCUUCUCCCCAAAGCCUACCAUGACCUCAGCCCUCAGUAACACUAUGACUCAAGCAGUGAGACUCAAAUCUGUUACACACAUGAAAAAGAAAAUUCACUUCUCAAAUUAGAUUAGUGCACCAGUACUUACAAUCAUUGGCAGGAAAACCUCUAUAGUGGAGGCAAUUGAUUUUCUGUCUCCUAUUUCCCUCAAACCUUUCAUUUUUGAUGUCUGUACAGAGAAAAAAAAACCAAUGUUAUUAGCAUACCAUUCAAUGUCUCCAUUAUUUUAAACAUUGGAAGUACAUUAUUUUAUUAAUUCUUACUACUGGUGUUUAUUUUUAAAGCAUCAUACUGUAUGCAAAAGUGCAGCACAAUGUAGCAGCUGUCUUGAAAAGCUGGUAUUUACUGCAGUAAACGUUGUCUUGGUGAAGGUUUCUACAUAAACCACUCCUAAUACAUAGUUUAUCCUUCAAUCCAUGUUAAGAAACUUGUAAGACUGGAAAACACGAGGGCAGAGUUGAAGCAAAAAGCUGCUUCUGUCUCACAGGCCUUUUUUCAUUCUGUUGGGGGAGAUCUUAAAAGUCACUGGCAGUCUGUCUCUAGUCCAAUUGUUUGAGCCUCUGAAAUAAGGAUAAUGCAGUGUUCUCCCUCUUUUACAGCAUUACAUAAAACAACUCUUCUGUCUGCAAAAUAAAUUCAAAGAGAUUUCCCUUUGCAUUGUUCUUCUGGGACUUACAACCAGCCACAGCUGCUUCAUAGAUUCAGAACAAAUGCUUGGUACUACACAAAGGAACCUGAAUAUUUAGGAAAUAAAAGAAAGGAACAAGAAAGGAGAGGACACAAAUCCAUCUCCUGCAGUUUUUGUGCACUGAGAGCAUUUGCUCAUGUUUUGGAGUUACUCAUGGAGUAACCAUGAGAAAGGAGAAUGGGCUGGGCACCUGCACUGUGCCCUCACUCUGCCCCAGAUGAGAUUUUCAGAUGAAAGCUCUUUCUGCAGGUUAUGAUACCAAGGGAAAGCUGCUCUAGGUGAUCAGUGGCACAUUUUUAAGCACACUGUGUCUCAACCCUGACUACUGAGCCUUGUGGGGAAAGGAUUGGCUUUACUUGUCUUUCAGGAAUAAGUCCUUGAUUAUUGCAUUAUUUUUCCUCUCUCUGCCUGGAUGAGGGAUUAAAAUUGUAGGAUAAGAAAGCACUGUACAAAAUGGAUGUUCCAGCUGGUGUGUCCAUGCACUUUAACUUGCAGGAUGAAGCCUCUCUCACCCUCUGUGACCCAGUGGUUCUGGGUCACUGCAGAGCCAUGAUACAAGCAAUGUUAACCUUGUAUGUCUUUCCAUCACUGCAAAGACUUGUCCUACCACUUAACACGAACAUUAAAAACACAAUAAAAAUAAAGAACAGACAUUAAAUCACCGAUCUAAUAUUCCAGCCAAACUCAUUGUUGGUGACUCCUAUCAUGAAUGGGACUGCAUUGAAUUCUUUUCCAGCCAGUAUCUCUUCAGGUGGCUUAUGAAGAAACACUCCAUCCAAAACUAAGGGUAGAAAUGAGAUUUCCUGAAGGAAGAGGGAAAAAAAAAAGAUCAAAUUAGUUGUUAAUGGUAUUUCCAAUUUUUCCUUCAAAUCACGUAAGAUGUCCACAUUGAAUAUCCAAAAUGCAAAAAAGGGCUUUAAGGAAUUCAAGUAUCUGCAGCCACUGAAACAUAAAUUUAGUUUGGCACGGGAGUAUAAAAUGCAGGCCUGGCUGGGUCAAGGUGUAGAGGAAUGUAACGAGCUCCUGAUCCUGGGCUGUUCUGACAUUACAGCAUAGGGAUGCUCAGAGCUUGCUCACCACUUCACAGGUGCUGUGACACUGCCAAACUUCCAGAAAGAACUGAUGUGUGAAAUUGCUUCAACAUUUAGGGAGUAUUUGACAAAAGAUAAGAAAAA